AUUGAACGCUGGCGGCAGGCCUAACACAUGCAAGUCGAACGAGUGGCGGACGGGUGAGUAAUGUCUGUGCAACUGCCUGUUGGAGGGGGCUAACUACUGGAAACGGUACCUAAUACCGCAUACCAUCAGAUGGGCCUAGAUGGGAUUGGCUUGUUGGUGGGGUAACGGCUUACAAAGGCGACGAUCCCUAGCUGGUCUGAGAGGAUGACCAGCCACACUGGAACUGAGACACGGUCCAGACUCCUACGGGAGGCAGCAGUGGGGAAUAUUGCACAAUGGGCGCAAGCCUGAUGCAGCCAUGCCGCGUGUAUGAAGAAGGCCUUCGGGUUGUAAAGUACUUUCAGCGGGGAGGCGUUACCCGCAGAAGAAGCACCGGCUAACUCCGUGCCAGCAGCCGCGGUAAUUC
rnacentral:rRNA from 1 species